AGCGACAAUGCGUGGAGGGCACAGCGCUGUGCCUGCCUUCUUCUCUGGCCACGAUGACUGAGCUGGGGAGUCAGCACUGGGCCCUGCAAACCAGGCGUCCCACUGCCUUACCUGAGAGUCAAGUGCUGGAGCUGGCCGUUCUCCCCACAGCACCUUAAAGACGGGAGAAAGCCAACCCUGCUGUCAGCAACCCUGAUGAGAUUUUUCCCAGAUUAUCAUCUAAUGGAAAAGAAAUCUCUCUCUCCAAAUGCAAGAAAUAGAAGAAAACAUCCUAAAAUUCAUAUGGAAUCUCAAGGGACUCCAAAUAGCCAAAACAAUCUUGAGAAAGAAGAACAUAGUUGAAGGACUCACAUAUCUUUUUUGUCAAAACUUACGAC
rnacentral:lncRNA from 1 species